CCCCCCUGCCGGUACAUACGACUACUGGGCAGACCCAUACACACUGUUUGUGCUGGAAAUGGCACUCAUGGGAUUUGCAGAGCACAGGAGAUUCCAAGAUUGGGCAAACCCAGGCUCCAUGGGCAAGCAGUAUUUCUUGGGGUUGGAGAAGUAUUUGGGAGGGUCUGGAGACCCAAUCUACCCGGGAGGACCCCUGUUCAACCCUCUUGGGUUAGGUAAAGAUGAGAAAUCAAUGAAAGAUUUGAAGCUCAAGGAGGUGAAGAAUGGGAGGUUGGCUAUGCUGGCAAUUGUGGGUUACUUCAUACAAGCUCUUGUGACUGGAGUUGGACCAUACCAAAACCUCCUGGAUCACUUGGCUGAUCCUGUCAACAACAAUAUCUUGACAAGCCUCAAGUUCCAUUAGAGCCAAUUCUUGUCUAUUUGUGGAUUGGACCUGCCCUAGCUGCUUCUUCCCUUUGGCCUUUCUUUUCUCCUACUCAUUGUAACAAUCGUGUGAAAAAGCCCUACUGUAAUUUU
rnacentral:misc_RNA from 1 species